AUACAGAGGGUGCGAGCGUUAAUGGGAAUUACUGGGCGUAAAGCGCGCGUAGGCGGCUGAUUAAGUCAGAUGUGAAAUCCCAGGGCUCAACCUUGGAACUGCAUCUGAUACUGGUCAGCUAGAGUUUAGGAGAGGGAAGUAGAAUUUCAGGUGUAGUGGUGAAAUGCAUAGAUAUCUGAAGGAAUACCAGUGGCGAAGGCGGCUUCCUGGCCUAAAACUGACGCUGAGGUGCGAAAGCGUGGGUAGCAAACGGGAUUAGAAACCCCAGUAGUCC
rnacentral:rRNA from 1 species